AGCCUACAUUGUCGUAUUAAAUUUACAAAUUGCGAAAAACCAAAUUAACUGUGAAUUUCGCGGGCAGACCCGUCGCUUGCCCCUUAAGUCAAUGCACGCUCUACAGAUCUCAGCCUUAACUACACACCACGGGAUCGCGAGCAAAAUGCUCGGUUAAUUUAGAAGUGUCUAUAAACCGCAAAAGCUCGUACGCCUCUUGAAAAUGUGGAGUUUAAUUUGUACUAAUAUAAGGCAAAUAGCGGGUAUAUACCACGAUCAAUAUGUCGAUUUUAAAUUAUCGAUAUUUCAACGCGCUUGCUGCUACUGGGACUCAUGCAACUGGGUCAAAAUAUCGAUAAAAUAGUUUUACCUAUAUACAGGAAAUAGUGGUACGCACCUGCUAUUCACAUUAUUAACUGAAACACGAAAUAAAUCUAACAUCAUUACUUUAACUCGCCUUCUGUAGAUUUUCAAUUACAAGAAAAUAUGUAGGAUAGCACGGCGUAAGGAUGCUUUACCGACUUCGAAAAAUGUAUUUAAAGAACAAUUCAUAAAGUCCACUUUUGAUUGACGAUCUGUGUGCUGUCCAUAAGCAGUAUAGCAUAGUCAGUGAAAGCUACUAUCAGAUAUUUUCAUGAACCGCUCUAAGCUAUCACUCGCUCGAUAUUUUUUUAUUAAUAUAGGUAUUUACUUUAAAUCUCCUAAAUUGUUAAUACGAUCUUAAGCGAUAUAAUUUUUCAUAACAGAAUUCACUGUACCACAAAACUUUUAACUAUUUUUUUUUGUUCAUUAUAUUAAGGUGAAUCAUCACUGUAAUUAUUUUCAAUCUCAUUUUUCAUAUAAGGAACGUCGCUAUGCGAAAUAAUCCAAUUUUCAGUCGCUAAAAUUUGAGAAAUCCUCAAGCAUAUAAAUAUCUACCCGCUUUAAUAAUAAAGUUAGUCGUUUAAAAGGCAGUGCUUUAAUUCAGUUAACAAUUCCUAUUGCGUUUAAAUGAUAUGCAAACGAUAUUAGAAAUGGUAUGACCACUAUGCUUGUGAUAAUACGUGUGAAUAGAAAGCAUAAGCCAAAAGGUAUAAAAAUCUAAAUUGCAGUCUUUUGGACUUCAGUCCGCCCGGUUAAGUCGCGCAAAAUAUAUUCCUAACUCAAGGGAAUAAAAUUCUAUUUAGAAUUUUCUACUAUAUCUAGUUUCUGAGCCUCUAGCUAAACACUUACAAGGAUAAUUCACCUUAACAUAUUUCUGUGAUACAACGAAUUCGACCAUUAAAUCUAAACACUUUUUUUUUUAAUUUUCUCAUUACUAUCUAAUCACGGUGCGAAAUGUAAUACGAGGGGGUAUCAGUGAAUAUAUACUGGGGUACCCCCAAAACUCCUAUACUAACCAACCUUAGACUCAUAACGCAUAGAAGUCUAGAAAAAGUUGUACUCAAAAGUGAAAUAUAAAACCAAGCCAUACCUCUUUAUUGUUUGCAAUAAUAUUUAUUGCUAUUUCGGUUAUAUACAAAACCUUAAUUGGACAGAUCUAAAAGUAUUGCCAUCCUCUUCUACAAGGAAUUUUGUGACAAAGAUGGCGACAGUACUUUUAGGCUGAGAUCUACCAUUACAGCGCACUUUGAAUUUGCUCAGACUUAUAAAAUUCAAACGAGACAAAAUGUGAGAUACAAAUCUGUCUAGUUUCAACUAUGUCAAAAUACGCUUUAAAGAAUUUCAGCUUUAAUCUUGGCAAUACAUUUAAGGUUUUGUGUAAAACUGAAUCAGCGCUAAUGUAUUAUUGGUAUUUUCUUAACUAUUUUGGCGUUCUCUUAAAGACUUAUAUAAUAACAAAUAAUAAUAUACAAAAGCAAGUUAAAAACCACGCCAUUUAUAGCUUGGUUGGUUCUUGCUUCACUUCGAAUGAGGAUACUUGCAACUUCUAUAUGUUAUUAUUCUAAGACACUAACAUACAAACAAUUUAAAGGCGUAAAGCUGUUUUUUUUUCUUUUUUUUUUCUUCACUUACAAUAAUGAGUUAAUAUUCGUGUAUAUAUAUUUUUAUUUGUAUUUUCACAUAUUUAAACCUAUUUUUAUUAUGUACUUUACUAUCAAAGACAUGGAUUAUAUCAACAUCUAUUAAAAAAGUUUAAGUUUCGAAUUCAUAUUUUAUAGAUCGCUUGCUAAAGCCGUGCCCAGACUGACUGAAAGCGAAUCUUGAUAUAUCCAUCGCAGCGCAUAGGCCGUGCAGUUUCCAUAAUAUCAUAUUAUAGACGGCGUAAACAUUGCUAACAUUCGUAAGGUAAGAUAAAUCCGCACCGCUCAAGCACAACACAUUUAUCGUUCAAAUGUGUGUUUUAUUUCGUGUGCCAUAGAUAUAUUUUUCAUUGACAAGAAAAUAUUAUACGACAAGCACUUUUACCGCGCGGUAAUUUAAUUAGCUUGAGUGGUGCGGUUGAAUCUUAUCAGACCUUAGGUCUGAAUACUUCCCACGCUGAUGUCAGUCGUGUACUAUUAGUAGCGUGUCAGCGUUUAGCAUUCCAAUGUAUGCCGCGACCGACAUCAGUAUAAGAAUUCAAGCCUUAAGACUGGUUUUUUUCUCACUACAUUUCGUCGAGGCUGGCGUUCUCUAACAUGUAGCGAGUCAGAACUGACCAAUUAGCAUAUAGGUUGAAAUCUAUAGGGCACACUUUGACGUUGCAUAGAUGUAAGUUUCAGUUAAAACGAGACAGAUUUAUGCGAGCGGUAUAACGCUGUCCCGUUUUAACAGUAUUUUUAGUCUGAGCAAAGUCAAAGUGCGUUCUAUAGAUCUCAGCCUUAAGAACGCUUCAUAGUAUUCCAUAAAGCGUGUAUGGCUGCACACAUCUCAGCGCUAUCGCUUCAUAGUAGUUCAUUAUAAUAUAUACUGAUCUGUCAGCGCCGACGGUCAGCGUGAGGAGAAAAUAAGCCUAACCUAUUCGCAAGUCAAUCAGGACACGAUAUGAUCUAAUUCGAAACGACGAAUCGUUAUAUAAUUUAGUUAAUAUAGUAAAUCUAAAAACAAGAGCUAAAGAUAUGAACUCUAAUUAGCUAAGAUAUGAAAGAAAGAAAAAUGUACACUAAAAUUUAUUGCACAUACAAAAAUACCGACUUCGCAUUUCAUAUAUAUAUUGAGAGUCGGGAGAGAGAGAGAGCAAAAUAUGUAUACUCUACGGACUCUACUGCAAACAUUAAAAUUGUAAAGGAUGGAAUAUUAUACCUAUCCACUUUUAUACUCUGUCCAUUGUACUAUUUACUAUUUGAUAUUUGAUAUAUAAAUUGAAGCUUAAAUACUUAACUGCUAUUUAAAACUUAGGGUCAUCACCCACCGCGACUUUUGGUCGCGAUACAGCCACAAAAGUCGCGAUACAGUAGCGAUGUAUCGCUGGCCCAUGUAUCUUUCCCCGCAAUUUUGUAUCGCUUCUGUAGCGAUUCAGAAUCGCGUUCAAGAUACACUCUCUUGUAUCGCUCAAAAAGUCGCACUGUUGCCUUGCUAGUCAUAGUAAUAAUGAAGUUAAAUACAACUUUAAUUUUUAAUGACGUGAUUGUGGUAUUUUGUUCAUCAUAAAGGCAAAAAACGUCUCCUUUGAAGAGCAUUCAAUUAAAUUGGCUUUUUGUAUCACAACAUAUUAUGGAUUCAAUAAUAAAUCAAUUUUAUAAUAGCUUAAUUUCAUCCUUUCGAGUAUCAAUAGUAUAAUAAAAUUGUCUCUUUCUAUGCCACUUACUAUAAAGACAUGCUUUCACAGUUUCGUUCAGUUUAUUAAAAAAGUGAAAAUGUCAAAUAGUUUAUCUGGCUUCUGAAGGUCUACCUUUUGAACCUAUAAAUAGUAAAUAGCACAAUAGAUAGGGUUUAAAACUAUUAAAACCAAAAAUCAAAACAAAAAGCCGCCUCUCUUCUGUGGCAACAUAAAACAUUGCUCUUCUAUACGUUAGUAAAACAUAUCAUGGAUCCAGCCAGUAAGUGGCGAACAUACCCAUAUCAUAGGCGAAAAGGCAGUGCCUAUCUUAAAAUACUAGGUUUGAAUAAAAUUAUUAAACAAAAAAAUCUAAAAAACAUUUUCAAUACUUAUAUCAUAUAAUUAAAACCCCGUGUAGAUUGAGGUUCAGCUUAGAACAACCACUUUCAAAACAAAUGGUUUUCAUUUUGUCGUACACAAAACUUAAGGUGCAAACGCAUUAGUGUGGAGUGUCGUAACGUGACAGGAGGCGGUCGAAAUCAUACAUUUUGUAGACGACGUGCACUCUAGUGAAUCGUGGGCCGUGGUGGUUCGCUUCAAUUGUUGAAUCAUGACACCGAAUUGUGUUGUACCACAACACAAUAAUCUGG